rnacentral:misc_RNA from 1 species
AUUAAAAAAAAAAAAAAAGAGAGAGAAAACAGGAGAAGAAGCGAUCAAACAACUUGAUCGUUUUCAAUCUCUAUGGAACAGCUCGUCAACUUCAUAAUACGGCCUCCCAGGGCUGAGUACAAUCCAAAACAUGACCUGUUGGAUCAAGAGUUUAUGCUGAAAAGGAAAUGGUACCAGAGAAAGGAUUUGGAGAUUAAAAAUAGCCAGGGAGAUACUCUUCAGUGCAGUCAUUACUUACCCAUUGUUAGUCCUGGAGGAAAGCCACUGCCAUGCGUAAUAUAUUGUCAUGGAAACAGUGGGUGCAGGGCUGAUGCGAGUGAAGCUGCUAUUAUACUGCUGCCUUCAAAUAUUACAGUUUUCACUCUUGAUUUCUCAGGAUCUGGAAUUUCUGGAGGAGAGCAUGUCACUCUGGGGUGGAAUGAAAAAGAUGACCUCAGGACUGUAGUUGAUUAUCUGCGGCAAGAUGGAAAUGUCUCUUUGAUUGGCUUAUGGGGCCGUUCAAUGGGUGCUGUCACCAGGUUGUCUUCAUGUACUUGCUGUGGUUCCUUUGUUAGCAUAUCCAAAAUUUUGAACACAAAGGGGACUGCUUGUUUUUCUUUCUUGCUAUUGCACUCUACAUUCUCUCUUACUUUAUUUCUUCAAAGCACAAAAAAAAAAAAUUUUACUUUGUUCUUUGCCCUUUGUAAUGCUCUCUGUGGCUUUCCUGUAAUUAAUGACGUGCAUAUUUUUUGUAGUCUAAUGUAUGGAGCUGAAGAUCCCUCAAUCGCAGGUAUGGUUCUUGACAGUCCCUUUUCUGAUUUGGUUGACCUGAUGAUGGAACUGGUGGAUACAUACAAAUUCCGUUUUCCCAAAUUCACUGUAAGUAGAUAUGUUUGCUCACAUCAUAACUGUUAUUUCCUUAAUGUAUUAUAUGCAAUAAUUUUACAACUCUAUGGACAACAAAAUAAUUAUGAUAAGAAGUUUUGAAUGAUAUAUAAAGUUAUGGGACUGAGAAGUUGGUGAUUUGUAACAGAUCCCUAUAAUCACUUCCUUAUCUAUGUCUAUAAGCUGUAACUUUGUUAUCUGUAUUUGAGCCUGCUGAUAAUUUUAUCCAUUUAUGUUUUCAAGCUGUUUGUGCUCUCGGAAAGGCAAAUUGGUAAUGUUGGGAGCUCAUUUGGUGGUUUAAAUGGUUUUGUAAAUCCCAAGGGCUGGCUUCUAGUCUUGGGUAAUUGGGUUCAAGUGUCUCAUGAAGCAUCAGCUUGAACUCAAAACCCAAUACAAACCUCUUUUACUGGUUUGUCAAGCUCAAUAAUUACUGGAGACAUGGGUUAGGACACUUUGCACGUUGUUGUUUAAGUUUGUCCACUGGUAUACUCAAUUCCUUUUUAGGAAUAGGGAGAGAGAAAAUAGAAGCAUAAGUUGGGGGGAUGGCAUGUUGAUGACUUAAGGUGAUUGUUCUAAUGUUGUAAAGUGAAUUUUAGGCACAUUGCUCUGGGAGCUGAGAUACUUCUUUGAAUAUUUACACUUGUGAAUGAUAUUCAGAGUAUGCUUGUUAGCCAUCUUCUUCUCCUCAAAAUUUCAAAUUUGAUUUUGCACCCAAGUGAUAGUGGUCUUUGUUUGUUGUUGCUCCAAACAGAAACUCAACCACACUCUUUAAAUAUUAGACUGUUUACAUAUAUUUAAUAAUCAAUGCAAUGAUAACUGAUGAGUGCUCUGAUGUUUUAUUAGAACAUUCAAGUCAUAGCUCUUGUAUAGUCCUAUGACCUUGACACUCUUUGUUUCCCAUUUUAGGUGAAGUUUGCAAUCCAAUAUAUGCGGAGAGCUAUCCAGAAGAAGGCAAAGUUUGACAUUAUGGAUCUGAAAACUAUCAAGGUGGCUAAGUCUUGCUUUGUUCCGGCUCUAUUUGGGCAUGCCAUUGAUGAUGAUUUUAUACAACCUCAUCAUUCAGAUCGUAUAUUUGAAGCUUAUGUGGGGGACAAGAAUAUUAUCAAGUUUGAAGGAGAUCACAAUUCUCCACGUCCUCAGUUCUACUUUGAUUCCAUAAAUAUAUUUUUCCACAACGUUUUGCAUCCUCCAGAGGAUGAGGUGGGGGGAACAUAUUUUGACACAAUGCUUGAUAACUUUGGUAAGGGUGAUUGGAGCACUGUGCAUGAAGUAGGCAAUAACCUGGAAUUUUCAGUUGCUUCUAAAGAACCAUCAACAAGCAGUGGAGAAGAUGCCCAUGCCCUUGAACAAGUUCGUCCCAAAAGACCAAUGAGUCGGACAGAGGUUCCUUCCGAGAUUCCAUCUGAGGGCAAACAAUCUGAAGUUGAGGUUGGAGAAAUCAAUAACAAUCAUUUGCCAUCAUCAUCCAAAA